CAGCAGCCGCGGUAAUACGUAGGUGGCAAGCGUUGUCCGGAAUUAUUGGGCGUAAAGCGCGCGCAGGUGGUUUAAUAAGUCUGAUGUGAAAGCCCACGGCUCAACCGUGGAGGGUCAUUGGAAACUGUUAAACUUGAGUGCAGGAGAGAAAAGUGGAAUUCCUAGUGUAGCGGUGAAAUGCGUAGAGAUUAGGAGGAACACCAGUGGCGAAGGCGGCUUUUUGGCCUGUAACAGACACUGAGGCGCGAGAGCGUGGGGAGCGAACAGGAUUAGAUACCCGUGUAGUCCCUGUCUCUUAUAC
rnacentral:rRNA from 1 species